rnacentral:rRNA from 1 species
UACGGGAGGCAGCAGUGGGGAAUAUUGCACAAUGGGCGCAAGCCUGAUGCAGCCAUGCCGCGUGUAUGAAGAAGGCCUUCGGGUUGUAAAGUACUUUCAGUCGUGAGGAAGGUGUUAAGGUUAAUAACCUUAGCAAUUGACGUUAGCGACAGAAGAAGCACCGGCUAACUCCGUGCCAGCAGCCGCGGUAAUACGGAGGGUGCGAGCGUUAAUCGGAAUUACUGGGCGUAAAGGGCACGCAGGCGGUUAAUUAAGUUGGAUGUGAAAUCCCCGGGCUUAACCUGGGAAUGGCAUUCAAGACUGGUUAGCUAGAGUCUUGUAGAGGGGGUAGAAUUCCAUGUGUAGCGGUGAAAUGCGUAGAGAUGUGGAGGAAUACCGGUGGCGAAGGCGGCCCCUGGACAAAGACUGACGCUCAUGCGCGAAAGCGUGGGGAGCAAACAGGGAUUAGAUACC